rnacentral:rRNA from 1 species
AUUGAACGCUGGCGACAGGCCUAACACAUGCAAGUCGAACGGUAACAGGAAGAAGCUUGCUUCUUUGCUGACGAGUGGCGGACGGGUGAGUAAUGUCUGGGAAACUGCCUGAUGGAGGGGGAUAACUACUAGAAACGGUAGCUAAUACCGCAUAACGUCGCAAGACCAAAGAGGGGGACCUUCGGGCCUCUUGCCAUCGGAUGUGCCCAGAUGGGAUUAGCUAGUAGGUGGGGUAACGGCUCACCUAGUCGACGAUCCCUAGCUGGUCUGAGAGGAUGACCAGCCACACUGGAACUGAGACACGGUCCAGACUCCUACGGGAGGCAGCAGUGGGGAAUAUUGCACAAUGGGCGCAAGCCUGAUGCAGCCAUGCCGCGUGUAUGAAGAAGGCCUUCGGGUUGUAAAGUACUUUCAGCGGGGAGGAAGGGAGUAAAGUUAAUACCUUUGCUCAUUGACGUUACCCGCAGAAGAAGCACCGGCUAACUCCGUG